rnacentral:rRNA from 1 species
GCGCACGGGUGCGUAACGCGUGGGAACCUGCCUUUAGGUUCGGAAUAACAGUUAGAAAUGACUGCUAAUACCGGAUAAUGUCUUCGGACCAAAGAUUUAUUGCCUUUAGAUGGGCCCGCGUUGGAUUAGAUAGUUGGUGGGGUAAUGGCCUACCAAGUCGACGAUCCAUAGCUGGUCUGAGAGGAUGAUCAGCCACACUGGGACUGAGACACGGCCCAGACUCCUACGGGAGGCAGCAGUGGGGAAUAUUGGACAAUGGGCGAAAGCCUGAUCCAGCAAUGCCGCGUGAGUGAUGAAGGCCUUAGGGUUGUAAAGCUCUUUUACCAGGGAUGAUAAUGACAGUACCUGGAGAAUAAGCUCCGGCUAACUCCGUGCCAGCAGCCGCGGUAAUACGGAGGGAGCUAGCGUUGUUCGGAAUUACUGGGCGUAAAGCGCACGUAGGCGGCUUUUCAAGUCAGGGGUGAAAUCCCGGGGCUCAACCCCGGAACUGCCCUUGAAACUGGAUGGCUAGAAUACUGGAGAGGUGAGUGGAAUUCCGAGUGUAGAGGU